rfam:Schistosoma rodhaini strain Burundi genome assembly, scaffold: SROB_scaffold0004268
ACCCAGCUGACGAGUCCCAGACAGGACUAAACGCACGUCAAACUGGAU